rnacentral:snRNA from 10 species
GGAUGUGAGGGCGAUCUGGCUGCGACAUCUGUCACCCCAUUGAUCGCCAGGGUUGAUUCGGCUGAUCUGGCUGGCUAGGCGGGUGUCCCCUUCCUCCCUCACCGCUCCAUGUGCGUCCCUCCCGAAGCUGCGCGCUCGGUCGAAGAGGACGACCAUCCCCGAUAGAGGAGGACCGGUCUUCGGUCAAGGGUAUACGAGUAGCUGCGCUCCCCUGCUAGAACCUCCAAACAAGCUCUCAAGGUCCAUUUGUAGGAGAACGUAGGGUAGUCAAGCUUCCAAGACUCCAGACACAUCCAAAUGAGGCGCUGCAUGUGGCAGUCUGCCUUUCUUU